CCCCUCAGGAACACCAAAGGAACUUGUAUAAACGUUACAACUUGGGACUUGGACUGAAUGAAACAUUAGUUUAUUUCCAGAGACUCUGACAGUUUGAUUUUGUGCCAGUUCUGUCCUUGUAAAAAAUGGACAGAGUUGGCUCUAGUUCAGACUAAUUUGCCACAUGAUUUAUUUUCUUUAAAAAUAAAUGUUAAAUCAACUGUGAUUUAACAUUUAAUGAACAUAAUCAGGUUCGAUUCCUGGGUCGGGAAGAUCCUCUGGAGUAGGAAAUGGCAACCCACUCUAGUAUUCCUGCCUGGAGAAUUCCAUGAACAGAGGAGCCUGGCGGGCUACAUAGUCCAUAGGGUUGCAAAGGGUCGGACACGCACAUAUACUCAAUAAACAUAAUCUUGAUAAGGUGGGAUGAGAAGGGCUCUUUACCUCUGAGGCUGUCCUCCUCUAAACCCGUCAACCCCAUCUAACCAUGAGGAAAACAUCAGAUAAAGCCAAAUUGAAACACAUUCUAUACAUUACCUGACUCAUCCUCCUCAAACUGCCAAAGUCAUCACAAACAAGGAGAGUCUGAGAAACUGUCACAGUCUAGAGGAGUCUGAAGACAUAGGACAACUGGGUGGGAACAGGAAAGGACAUUAGGUAAAAACUAGGGAAAUCUGAAUAAAGUACAAUCUUUAGUGAAUAAUGUCCUGUUACUUUUGGUUUCUUAGCUGUGACAAUUGUUCUGUGCUUGCUGAUGUAAGAUGUUGACAAUAAGGGAAACUGGGUGUGCGAUAUACGAGACCCCUUUGUACUAUCUUUAUAACUUUUCUAUAACUCUAAAGCUGUUCUAAAAUUAAAUAUUUAUUAAAACCAUAACUGUUGGACUUCCUUGGUAGUCCAGGGGCUGAGACUCCGUGCUCCCAAUGCAGGGCACCCAGGUUUCAUCCCUGGUUGGGGAACUAGAUCCCACAUGCGGCAGCUAAAGGUUCCAUGUGCCACAAUGAAGAUUGAAGAUCCUGUGUGCUGCAGCCAAGACCUGGUGCAGCCAAAGAAAGCCACGUCGGUGGAGACAGGCACCGUCUGGACAGCUCAACCCUUUCAAAAAUGGUUCUCUCUGUUCUCAUGAGAUUAGCAUUUCUAAUAGGA
ensembl:lncRNA